CCUACGGGAGGCAGCAGUGGGGAAUUUUGCGCAAUGGGCUAACGCCUGACGCAGCAACGCCGCGUGGAGGAUGAAGGUCUUUGGAUUGUAAACUCCUGUCAGCAGGGAAAAAGCGACUCGGACGAAUAAUCCGGGGAGUUGAUUGUACCUGCAGAGGAAGCCCCGGCUAACUCUGUGCCAGCAGCCGCGGUAAUACAGAGGGGGCAAGCGUUAUUCGGAAUUAUUGGGCGUAAAGGGCGCGUAGGCGGCUUGGCAAGUGGAUGGUGAAAUCCCUCGGCUUAACCGAGGAACUGCCGUCCAAACUGCUUUGCUUGAGGCCGGGAGAGGCGAGUGGAAUUCCCAGUGUAGCGGUGAAAUGCGUAGAUAUUGGGAGGAACACCAGUGGCGAAGGCGGCUCGCUGGACCGGUUCUGACGCUGAUGCGCGAAAGCGUGGGGAGCA
rnacentral:rRNA from 1 species